GUUUUUGUAGUUGAAUAACAGCGGUGGUUUUUCGGAUCACAGGUUCUGGUGUUAGGCCAGAUAAAAACA
rnacentral:tRNA from 1 species